CUUCUCUCGCUUUCGUCUUUUUCAUAUUUUUACAAAAACGGCCCUCUCUUUUCUGCUGCUGCAGAUCCCAACCUUUCUAACAAACCAUUGACUAUCCAAACGCAUCCUUCUCUCAUUCCAGAAGGCUCGAAAUCGCAUUCCUGGCAGCUCAGAUCUCCCAAACGAGCUGAAUCUUCACUAGCAAACGCAAUAUAUUCAUUCAGGGAUGACACAGGAAAAAUUGCAGGUUGCCGUUGGUGCUCAGGUAGCCAGGAUUUUUCUUCAAGCAUACCAACAACCCCUGAUGUAAUGUCACGUAGUCCGAGCUCUAUGCGUGGAAGUAGUGAUAAUGGGAUCCAGUCUUCAAAUUCUAAUUGCUUAAACAGGCAUCACACUGAAAGACAUUCUGGUCAAAGAAACCUUAGAGGAGGUGAAAAUUAUAGUUAUUUUGUGGACCGAGAUGCUGUGGAACUUUUCUCAAGAGCCAAGGCACAGAAAGAGGAGAUCCUGCUACUCCGCGAACAAAUUGCUAACGCCUGCGUUAAGGAGCUGCAGUUACUGAAUGAGAAACAUGUUUUGGAGAGGAAAUUUUCUGAUCUGAGGAUGGCAAUUGACGAGAAGCAGAAUGAAUCCAUAACUACUGCAAUGAAGGAUCUGGCUCACAGAAAAAGUUAUCUUGAAGAAAAUUUGAAACUGGCUAAUGACUUAAAGGCUGAAGAGGAUGAGAGUUAUAUCUUUACAUCAUCAAUGCUCAGCUUAUUGGCUGAGUAUGGUGUACGGCCACAAGCAAUAAAUGCUUCCGCUAUUGCUAAUAGUGCAAAGCAUUUAUACCAUGAAUUGCAAUGGAAGCUUAGAACUUCCAAUUCUAAUGUUAUAGAUAUAAACGAUCUGUUGGGCAAUCAACUUGGGGAUGCAUCCUCCAAUAGAGAUCGUCAACCUUCAAGUGCAUUGAAAAGGCAACCACAAGCAUCCAUGGUUCCAAAUGCAUUUGAAUUUUAUCCCUACAAUCGCUAUCCUCAUGAACGACAGUCAGAUCCAACUUCUGAUACAAAAUUUUUCCCAGAUCAUGGUCGGAUGGAUAUGAAAGAAAUGAAACAUGACGCAGGUGUUGACAAUGACAUACGCCAUCCAUUUAUUCAUGACAAUCCGAAGGAGUUCACCUCCAACACCUAUAAAGAGGUUGAAGGCUUCACCGCACUCAGUUUGGAACGUGGUGCUGGAAAGGCCACCGAUGGAAAGACAGCCCUUGAUGCUCAGUUUCAGAUGCUUACCAUGCAAGAUGAUCAUGCAUCCUCUCUCUCUGAAGGAGAUGGCCUCUCACCUGGCAUAGAAGGGUUUCAAAUUAUUGGUGAUGCUAAACCCGGAAAUACGCUGCAAGCAUGUGGCUUUCCCAUACGUGGCACUUCUCUUUGUAUGUUUCAGUGGGUUCGUCAUCUUCAGAAUGGCACUCAGCAGUUCAUUGAGGGAGCCACCAAUCCUGAUUACGUAGUUACUGCUGAUGAUGUUGAUAAACUUCUUGCUGUUGAGUGCGUACCAAUGGAUGACAAUGGUCGUCAGGGGGAACUGGUGAAGAUUUUUGCAAACAAUCAGAACAAAAUAGCAUGUGAUCCAGAUAUGCAGCAGGAGAUUGAAAACCAUAUUUCUGCAGGUCGAGCCACAUUUACUGUGCUACUUCUGAUGGAUUCUUCUGAGGGUUGGGAACCGACCACUUUGAUUUUGAAACCAUCCAGCUACCAAAUCAAGAUCAACAGAACGGAUAUUGUAGCUAUAGAAGAGAAAUAUUCACCUGACCUAUCUAUCAAAAUUCCCUCUGGGCUCUCGACACAGUUUGUUUUAAUACGUUCUGAUGGCAUUUCUCACCCAUUUAGCACGAAUGAUGUUCGAAUGCGUGAUACUCUCGUGUUAACAAUGAGAAUCUUCCAAAGCAAGACUUUGGAUGAUAAGAGGAAAGGGAAAGCUUAGAUCAAAUUCUUUAUUUUCUACCCUGUACAAUAUCUCACUAUCAUUCUUUACUGUAAAAUUCAAUACUAAAUAAGGAAUUCAGAGCCCAUAGCUUGUGAGGAUCAGAAAAUUUGCCAUCAGGAACAGGAGUAGCAGUUAGGAAGGUUUAAUUGGUCUGAUCUUUGGGUUAUGGCCCAUCUUGGUGGGGCCUGCUGGAGGCUGGAGCCUCCAUGUCUGGCAAAUGUACGAUGCAUGUGUGUGACAGAGGGUGUGUAGUAAACUGUAGUUUCCAAUUAUGGAAUGCUGAUUCCGGGAAUAUCUAUAUGCUCAGGUUUUGCAUAAUGGAGCCACGUUCAGUGAUCCAGACCACUGAUAUAAUGGCCCACCACGGAUGCCCCAUGCGCCAAAAUGUUCCCGGUUUGGAAUAUCCUAAGAAUUGGAUUCCUUUUCAUCCUUUUUUUUAAAUAUUUUUGAUGGUUGAA